UGGACUGAUUUAAAUAUUGAGUUAUUAAUUAAGUAUUAAUAAUUAACAAAUCAUAAUAUGGAGAUCGUGAUAGAAAUACCGGCUGUCAUAUAGUAUGUGGUGUACCGGCUACUAAGGAUCCGAUCUACAUGCGGCCGGCUGGUUUUUUCACAAGCCACACUCAACAAAUCGAACUCUUAUAGAGACCAUUACGUUUAAAAUUAGUUAAAAAUGGUUAAGUUUUUGUACUUUGAGCAGUUUCUGAAGAUACAACAGCACAAUACUCCAUAUUCUUGACAAUCAUUCUGGCGAAAUUAAUAAACAUAGUAAUUUAAAAACCGCGUGCUAUACUCAUUAAUUCACCGGUAGACUGCAUACUAUAUGAGAGCCAAAAUACCUAAGUAGUACCUAAAUAUCAUAAAUUCCAAAGUAUUUCUAUCCUGCAGAUGGUGAUGACAUCAGUGAGUACUGUAUACAUUACACAUGAUUAUAACUAGAUCUUUUACAUAACUUUUAUUGCCUUCUGUUAUAUUUAUUUAUUCAAACUUUGUGUUGAUCUUCAAAACUACACAGUUCAAAUUAUUAUGAAUAAUAAUAUAUUGGAUAGGUUCAGUUAGAAAAAAUGGGACAUUAAAGACUAUUAUACAAGUGAAUUGUUAACGAUACUGAAUAGUUUUCUAAUGCAUUAUUAUUAAUUGAACUCAAUUAAUAUGGUUUAUAAUGUAGUACAUAUUAUACCCUUUUUACAAACUUUUUGAAGGUAUAUGACCCUUAAAUGCUGAUGGUAGAAAUUGAGUUAAUGUAUUUAGAAAUUCAAUGAAAAUGUAUGCUACAACCGUAUACUUGAUAAGUGAAAAGUCAACAAAAUCAAUCAGAAGUUGUAGAAAAGAGAAUAGGUAUUAAAUUAGGUAAUUAAAUAUUAAUAAUGACACC